UUUGGUGACGAUAGCGAAGAGGUCACACCCGUUCCCAUGCCGAACACGGAAGUUAAGCUCUUCAGCGCCGAUGGUAGUUGGGGGC
rnacentral:rRNA from 1 species